UGGUAGUGCCCAGAUCACAGCUGCAGGCACACAAAGAAAGUUUUGAUGCUGGUAUCCAUAUCCCUCCUUCUCAUCAACAACAGAAAGGAUGACUACUUAAGAUUCUGUUGUCUUAAAGGCUUUAUUAAGUUAUUGCCCAAGGAUUAUCCAUCUGCAAAAUAAAAGCGAUUGCAAUUUCUGCAUGACUGCAGGAAAAAUAAAUACUAUUCCAUAGCAUGCUAUUUUACAAGUUUCUUUAAGGUUAUUUGAAAUUUCAAAUGGUAACAAGCUUGGAAUUGUUUUUUUCUUCAACUAUGGACUGUAUCAAAGUUUAUGAGCUAUAAUUGUCUUUUGGUUUCUGCCAGGCAUCAGGAUAGCUCAUUUGCAUGACUGAUAUAAAAUUUACUUAUUCAAUGAAUGAUGCGCUGUACUAACCCAUCUCUGUAAUAAUAACUGCAGUGUGACUAACAAUAACUAAUCUUGUCUCAACUACAAAAGCACGUAAAUUAGUAAAAUAAAUGUUUAGUUGUGUA